GAUGAAGAACGUAGCGAAAUGCGAUAAGUAAUGUGAAUUGCAGAAUUCAGUGAAUCAUCGAAUCUUUGAACGCACAUUGCGCCCGCCAGUAUUCUGGCGGGCAUGCCUGUUCGAGCGUCAUUUCAACCAUCAAGCCCCGGGCUUGUGUUGGGGACCUGCGGCUGCCGCAGGCCCUGAAAUGCAGUGGCGGGCUCGCUGUCACUCCGAGCGUAGUAGUUACAUCUCGCUCUGGGCGUGCUGCGGGUUCCGGCCGUUAAAAGCCUUAUUUACCCAAGGUUGACCUCGGAUCAGGUAGGAGGACCCGCUGAACUUAAGCAUAUCAAUAAGCGGAGGA
rnacentral:misc_RNA from 1 species